ensembl:lncRNA
GACUAUCUAUGUGUAUACAGACUUCUACUACGUCAAACACUUGGAUGCUUCGAAACUUCUGGAUGAUUGCCUGCAUCCUUCUACAUUCCUCCAACGAUUUAAUGAUAAAAAUAGAUUAUAUACUGGGAUACAUUCUGAAAACAGCGAGUUCUUUGGUUCACUCUGAUAGGAAGAGCCCAAAGCACCAGCCAUGUCAAGAAUCCCAAGAUGGCAGAGUUUCUGGACCUAUGGCACAGGCCCUGCUCCCUGGAAUUUUCUUUUCGCAGUCUCCCCAGACACAGCCCAUACCCACACCAGCCACUCUGAAGAGGUUUCCUCAGCCAGCAGGCCCUCUCCCUGUUACCAUGGCAGCAGCCAUUCUGGAGAACAAGAAGCCAAUACAAGGAGAAGACAAAGCCCAGACUGUGUGAUUCCUGUCUGCCCACUGCGGUCAUAGAGUCUCUGACAGAGCUACCCACUUCUGCCACUGAACAUAACAAGCCACAUGUGAACGAGGGUACCAAUCAGACUUUAUGGACACUGAAAUGUGAUGGUCAUGUAAUUUUUAUAUGCCAAGAAAUACUAUUCCUUUGAUUUGUUUUCCAGUCAUUUACAAAUAUAAACACCAGCCUUAGCAUUCAGGCUAUAGCAAAACAGGCAGCUGGCCAAACCUGGCCCUCCGGCCAGAGCUUGAUGACUCUGAUAUAUAGAGAGACAUUAUCAGAGUUAAUGAAUUAGUCAUUAUAAAAGGUUCUUCUCUUUUUUUGGAAUGAAUAUUUUUACAGAUGAAAAAGCAGGAGUAAGUAUAUACACACGUAUUAAA